rnacentral:rRNA from 1 species
AUUGAACGCUGGCGGCAUGCCUUACACAUGCAAGUCGAACGGUAACGGGCCUUCGGGUGCCGACGAGUGGCGAACGGGUGAGUAAUGCAUCGGAACGUACCUUUCAGUGGGGGAUAACGUAGCGAAAGUUACGCUAAUACCGCAUAUUCUGUGAGCAGGAAAGCAGGGGAUCGCAAGACCUUGCGCUGAUUGAGCGGCCGAUGUCAGAUUAGCUAGUUGGUGAGGUAAAAGGCUCACCAAGGCGACGAUCUGUAGCGGGUCUGAGAGGAUGAUCCGCCACACUGGAACUGAGACACGGUCCAGACUCCUACGGGAGGCAGCAGUGGGGAAUUUUGGACAAUGGGGGCAACCCUGAUCCAGCCAUGCCGCGUGAGUGAAGAAGGCCU